UCACAAGCGGAAGAGGAGAUCUCAUAGUAGCACACAAGAGAACAGGCAUUGUAAACCACAUCACCAGUUUAAAGAAUCUGAUUGAUGUUCCAUUGGGACUGUUUACCAGAUUGCUUUCUAAAUUAGCCAGCUGGGGUUACUUUAAAAAACAGUAUGUAAUUUCUUUCCUUCUCCACGUUAACAGACUUGUUCUGCCAAACUGAGCUUAUUUGUAGUCAGUGCAGACAAAUCAUGCUUCAUACACAUUGUUAUAUAAGGGGAAGGGGGAAGGUUUAUGACAGGAUUUCAAAGACCAGAGAUAAUUAAUAAUUAAUGUACAGUACACUAAAAAAAACUAUCUGUACUCCACUAUUAAUAAAUACAAAAAACCCUAAGGCUUAACAUCGUAGUACUGGUUAUUCAUAGGAUAAUUAUACGUUGUAUAUAUAGACAGGAAGUGAUGAGUGAUGAACAGUUCAUUUGUGCUCAUAGUUAACUACAUAAACAUGAUACUGAGUCCAGUUAACCACCAGGCCAGUGCCUUCUUUGACAUUUGUACCAGGUGUGUUUGGUGGUCAACGUUCACCAUAAUCCAGAAUAUUCUAAUUUUUGAAGAUCAAAAACUUUGAGUGUUUUUAUAAAAUAACAAAAAACUGAAAAAUGCAGAAAAGUAUAAAGAUGGUAAUCUCUGUAGGAAAUUUGUCCCCAUUAUUUAGCUGUAAAAUUAUAAUUUAAAAAAAUCUUUGUUUCUAAA
rnacentral:sRNA from 1 species